ensembl:lncRNA
AACAGGAGGAGGAAGUAGGGCGGAAGCGAUGACGUCUUCCCAGCGGCCAGAGGUGGUGGAGUGCAAAAAGCUUCCUACUUGCGACCGAAAAAAAAAAAGGGAGAGAGAGAAAAAAAAAAACUUUGUCCCGCCUACUGAGCAUGCCCGUCUUCCUUUCCCCCCUCCCUCCGGGCUUCCACUCCGGGAGGAGCCGUGGAGUGGAGUUGUUUGCUCGGCGUCUGCCUGCCUCCGGAUCCCCCUCUGAGAACGGGCAUUUUUAAGAAAUCAUUAUUUGUACAUAAAGAAAUAAAAGGUAAAUCCAACAGCCCAGAGACGCUUGCAUUUCAGUAGAAAUGGACUUUCUCGGGUUAAAAGGUGCUGAAAGAGAUCCCACUCAAUCACUCCUGAAUUUCCAGAAACAUAGGCAUUUGUCCAUGUCAAAAUUAUCCACUCAACGGGCAUCUCUUUGGCUCCACCCUCCAGUUUCAGAGUGUCCAAAUGGCAAAAGGCAGCCAGUUGGAUUGCCAAAUGCUCCUCCUCCACUCCUGGUCCUUCAUGUUCCUCUAAAGAAGACCUCCCAGUUCUCUUCUGCCUUGUUCGUGACCCAAAAGAGGCCUUUUAAUGGAAGUGUUCCUAGCAGAUCACCUCUUGGUCUUCUCCAUCAAUUACUAACUGUGACUCCUGCCGCUCCAUAGUAUAAAUGGCGAUAUUGGGUGAAUAGCUCCGAUACGUUUAUUGAUCUGAAUAUCAGGGUGUUAUCAAAGUCUACUGGAUUGUAUCACAGAUUUAGGGCUCUAAUUUAAUGACAUUUCUGAAAGAGCGAAAUACCCACAUCCCUGUCUCUCCCCGACAACUGGCAAAAACGGGGAACGCAGCUCUGAACACGAUCAAAUCAAGGGUGUCGACUCAGAGUGAGAUCGUACAGCUUCAAAAGUAAUGUCGAUCUGCUCGCAACUUCACGCAAACCCAGCAGAGCCCCCAGCAGGACCCCCACGUACCCGCCUCUCAAUCCGGAGUUCGGGACGGGGGAGCACCCCUACCCGGGUCCUUCCCGCCGGCCGCCCGGAAAGCCCGGAGCGCGGAAGCGGAGCGACCCUCGGCAGCCGGGGGACGGGCAUGCUCAGUAGACCCGCAGGUCUGGUUUCACUCGGAAGCCAGCCGCGGACCCCGCCCCCUCCCGCCCCGCACGGGCGCCCGGAGAAGCGGACAUUUUAACCUUCUCUGCCAUCCGCUCCCUCUUUCGUGUCCUUCGCCCCCUGUCUGAGUCCUUCCACCUCUCGCCCAUCGGGGUCUGAAAUUCUUGUGUGAGGCCGUGAUGUUCAGCGCUACCAGGAGGGGAAAGCCAAGAAAAUCAAAGGAGAGCUGAUCCGGAAUCCUGAAAUUGCUGAGCUCCUGAGUUAACUAGACUUGGAACUCACCUACUUCUGGACUUCAUGUUAAAUGAAAUAGUAAAUCUUUAUUGUUUAAGCCACUUUUUGCCAGUGUCUUGUAAUUUGAAGCCCAACUAAGUGAUUCAUACCGUAGUCACUCGUAUGCACAGCACUCCCUAUUUUAAGUAAAUCCCAGCAUUUCAACAGCAGGUGCCUGCUUGGUUUGCCACCUUGCAGAAGAGGACUAACCAACAGAGUUGACUUCUAGACACAUCUCUUUGAGAUGUCAUCUGUUGACAUUUGUAAGCUGAGAAAUUUUUGUUGCUAUUCACAUGACAACUAAACAUUGGACAAUCUACAGAAACAUAAAAAUGUCUAGACUCUGUGCUUACAAGCACAUAUGUCAUAUGCUUGUAACAUGUAGUGGUUAAAACUCAAUGGUUUUGUUCUGUUGUUAUUUGCAAUUAUUAAAGUAAGCCCUGUUCAUUGUACAAACGUUUAAAGUGCAAAAAGUAUAGUGAAGAAAAUAAUAUCCAGUAAUUCCACCACUCAGAUAUAACCCGUUAAUAUUUUAAAUGUGUAUCUUUAUAGACUUUUUCCGUAUAUACAGUAAAUAUUCUAAUAAAAUAUUAUGUAGUGUAUAUUUUAAUAAAACUAGGAUCAUAUUAAACAUACUCUUUU